GCAAGUGACAAAGACCCGAUGAGACAUCUGUCACCCAUGGAUCAGGAGGGAUGAAUUGACUGAUCUGGCUGGUUAGGCUGGUGUCCCCCUCCCUCACUGCUCCAUGUACAUCACCCUCAGAAGCUGCACUUCUCCAAAUAGAGGAGGACCCGUCUCCAGUCAAGUGUAUACACAUAGCUGUGUUCUCCUGCUAGGACCACCAAACAAGCUCUCCAAUAAAGAAGACCAAAUGGCCAGGGUGUGGAAAAUGUUCACCAGCUGGAGCC
rnacentral:snRNA from 1 species